GAUAAACGCUGGCGGCGUGCCUAAAACAUGCAAGUCGAACGGGUUCUGACUUCGGUCAGAGCUAGUGGCGGACGGCUGAGUAACACGUGGGUGACCUACCUCCGAGCGGGGGAUAACUGCCCGAAAGGGUAGCUAAUACCGCAGACGUCAAUGGAGCAUACCGUUGACUAAACUCGCAAGGGGCUUGGAGAGGGGCCCGCGGCCGAUUAGCUAGUUGGUGGGGUAACGCCUACCAAGGCGUCGAUCGGUAGCUGGUCUAAGAGGAUGAUCAGCCAGACUGGGACUGCGACACGGCCCAGACUCCUACGGGAGGCAGCAGUUAGGAAUUUUGGGCAAUGGGGGAAACCCUGACCCAGCAACGCCGCGUGGGUGAUGAAGGCC
rnacentral:rRNA from 1 species